rnacentral:rRNA from 1 species
UAGGGAAUCUUCCACAAUGGACGCAAGUCUGAUGGAGCAACGCCGCGUGAGUGAAGAAGGUUUUCGGAUCGUAAAGCUCUGUUGUUGGUGAAGAAGGAUAGAGGUAGUAACUGGCCUUUAUUUGACGGUAAUCAACCAGAAAGUCACGGCUAACUACGUGCCAGCAGCCGCGGUAAUACGUAGGUGGCAAGCGUUGUCCGGAUUUAUUGGGCGUAAAGCGAGCGCAGGCGGAUAAAUAAGUCUGAUGUGAAAGCCCUCGGCUUAACCGGGGAAUUGCAUCGGAAACUGUCUAUCUUGAGUGCAGAAGAGGAGAGUGGAACUCCAUGUGUAGCGGUGGAAUGCGUAGAUAUAUGGAAGAACACCAGUGGCGAAAGCGGCUCUCUGGUCUGUAACUGACGCUGAGGCUCGAAAGCAUGGGUAGCGAACA